CCAUACAUCCAUACCACCCUGAAUAUGCCCAAUCUUGUCUAAUCUUGAAGCUAAGCAUGGUCAUGCCUGAUUAGUACUUGGAUGGGAGAACAGGGGAGAAGACCAUAAGUUCUGGUAUUUU
rnacentral:rRNA from 1 species